UGACACUGAACCUUUAUCAAUCAAUCAUGUAUUGUUUUGGACAUAAAUCAGUCCGUUAGUUUUCUCGUUUGAUUUGCAUUACAUUUGUCAUGUCGGGGCCUUUUAUAUCUUACUAGCUAUGUGACAUGGGUUUAUACUCAUUAUUGCAGGUCGUAUGAAGACACAUAUUUAUUAACCUUCCUGUAGAAUGGAAAUCAUUAUGUUGGUAGCUGCAUUGUACAAGUAAAAAGGGUACGGUUAGAACGCACGUUAACUGGUUUUACUCCGUGUGUUUUAGUAGUACCACUCGGUCGAUAUAUUUAAUGGUGAACUGUGAUCGUGAAGGGUAUUAAGCCGAAAAGCCUUUACCUCGGG
rnacentral:lncRNA from 1 species